rnacentral:lncRNA from 1 species
AUGGCGACUUUUCCUAUAGAGGAGUUGGUACCACUGGUGGCGCCCCCUGCCGGCGAGGCGGUUGUUGCGCUCGCUGUCGCUGCGUCGGGCAGCGGGACAGGUGAAAUGAUGUCAAAUGGCCGCAUCAGGACUGCAGUUAAUCCUUGUAUUUGGAGAAAGAAAAGGUUCAAACAAAACACCAGUUCUCCUGGGAAUCCAGCUCGGGGGGGCAAGGUUGCGGCAGCAUCGAGACCUAACGCGACCUCCCUGAAAAUAUUCAGGGCCCAGAAGAGCUCAGCUUCAGCUGCGUCUCGUUCCUCGGCGCAUUCCAGCGUCGGUACUGCAGUGAAGCCAUGGGCGAGGAGAAAGAAGACGUUGAAACAGAACAACAGACCCCUAAACGUCUUCUGUCCUAGAUGUCCACCACAAGCGGAAGAUUGGGACCUUGAGAUCUCAGUUACUGCCAACGGUCUCGAUGACGUAACCGGCGUGGCUUUGCAGGAAUCGACACUUAACGGACUGGUUACAGGCGGUUACAUACCAGCCGUCCACCACGUGCCGCCUGUUAACUGGGUUCGUGAGAGCUUUCCCACUGAACCAGACCAGUUUGCAGAUGCUGAAGAUCCUGCUGGGAUGCCACCACAAGUGGAAGAGUGGGACCGCGAGAUCCAGGACGUGGCAACAAAACUUUACUCGGUUACUGCAGAUGGUCUGAAAGACAGUGUGGCCUCGCAGGACUUGACACAUCUGCUCACAGGCGGUUACAUACCAGCCGUUCACCACGUACAGACCAUUAAAUGGGUUCGGGAGAGCUUUCCCAUUGAACCAGACCAGUUUACAGAUGCGGAUGAGUAAUCUAGACACCUUCUUUUAUAAUUUACGAUUAUUAUAUAAUCGGUGUUUACGUUGUAAAUAUUUGAAAGCCGCUCGUGACUGAUCUGACUGGCGGAUUCUGUUUGUUUGUAUUUUACCUUCAGUGAAAUUCAGUUUAAAUUGUGUCAAGUUUGUUUUCUCUGCUGCAGUUCCUGUGUGAAGGGUCAAUGCUGCCAUCAAAAAUGUCCAGGCCAGAGUCAGGUUGUUGUUUUAUACUCGGUUUUAUUUCAUCAUUUUUAUUCAGGUUUUAUAUUUUAUAUUGCAGCAUUUAUAUUGCUUUUUUUGAACUCUGUGAUCUUAAGUAGUGAUUUUAGCUAAGUGUCACAUACACAAUGCUGUUUUUUUAUGUUUUUUUUGUUUUUUUUAAAUCCCACUUGAUGUCAUAUAUGAAAACUAACCUUGUUGUCCUUUAUUGGCAUCCUUGGUUACGUUGUUUCUAUUUUCCACAUUAACAAGUACGCAAAGAAACUUCUUCAUUCGUGAAAAAAAUGGAAAACGGUGCUUUGUGUUAUUCAAAAUUUCAAUAAAACCUUUUUUUUUUUACAUUAACUUUUGCACGUUAAUUCGUUAAGAUUCAAGUUUUUAUUUUAUUAUUUUUUGAAGCAGUGACAUCAUUUUGCCACUAGAUGGGGUGCUUGAUGUCGGAAUUUGAGUCAAGUCGCCACCUCCGGGAGUUCAGUGGGUUCGUGUUCAAGGAUGUGGAAUAUUUGAGACACUUUUUUUCGCCCUGGUUUCAAUAGAAAGUGUGUUGUUAAUGCCAGGAUUAUAUUAUGGAUCAUUAUAAAUGAUCAGUUGACACAGAUUUAAUGGGCUUAUUUCUCCCUCAAAACUCUAAUCUGCAUAUUUCAUGACACCAGGAAAUCAUUCAGUGUGCAUGACUGUGUUUAACUGCAGCCACCGUUUGGAGUAUAGCUAUCAGGAAAAGGUCGUCCUCUAAAAUAAACAAAUAAUGAAACACACAGGACCCAACAGACUCAUUUCAUACUCCUGCUGUAACUCAGAUAUGAUUGAAAUAUAGUAACAUUUCCUUAGUCAUCAGGUCUGUGUCCAUGACCAUGAGAUGACCAUCAGCCAGUGGGCGGCACAUGUGCUUUAGAAAACAAGCACAAGGCUGAUAUAAAAUUGUCAUUUUGGCCAUUUUGAAGCUCUUUUUGAAAAUGUUCAGCAGAUUAUUAAAUCAUGGAGGAACAAAUCCCCCCCCCCCCCCCAGUUUUCUCAGUAUCUUGGGCUGAUUUUCCAACCUGUUUGUAUCUCUCUGCAUGUUUGGUUUUCAUGAACCAAUCCCAAACUGAAUGUCGAUGUUCAUUUCCCCUACCUGUAAUCACUCUGUGAACUUGGCACACAGUAAAGUAAAGAUCCACUUCGGAGUGGACUCCACAUGUGCAACGUAUACGUUUUAAUGAAUAUUCUUGGCCAGAGCAGAGAGGAAUGGAGCUCGUUUGCAUCGGCAGAUGAAGUUGUUAUACGCGCUUGUUGCUUCAAUGUUUCCUUUGUUGUUUUUGAAGUUUAACUGGUCGAUGAAAAGGCUCUGUUUCCUCCGUCGGAGUUCCUCCCUGCCCUCUUCUGCUCCCAUGCAGCCAUCUGUUAUUGAUUGUAGCAGGAGCAGCGUCAGAUCUACACAACCCUGCUGCGACGCAGUUACGUGGGGGUGGCAUCAGAGAUGCACAGUUAAGACAUGGAGUGCUUCAUGCAGAACAUGUGACGUUAGCGCCGAGUGAUUAAUGUUCCAAUGUGUCUCAGUAGACCUUUUCCCCACUUCCUGUCUUCGGGGCAAACAUCCUCUACCGUAAACUCCCCCGCUCAAUGUCACAUUUAAUGUCAAUCUGAGUGUUUGUGGUAAAGUGUGCUCUAAUAACAGAGGAUAAUCUAAAUUAAAUCUCCCAUUUCGCCUUUGUGAAUCAGCAACAUUUGUUUUUUUUGUGUGUGUGUGUUUCCAGUGUGACCAGUCAGUUGGCGUGGAGUCUGAUCUGGAAACAUAAUGGGUUUGUUCGCCUCACACGGGAAGCGGCCCAACAGGAGGCAGAGAGGAGGAUUGUGGUUUGUUUAACUCUUUUCACCUACGCAAAGCACACGCAUGAAAUCCGUUUAGAACUCGCCAUGUGGACUCAAUAAUACUUGCUGUUUCGAACUAAACAUUUGAUUAGGACGAUUUGCAUAUCGAUACAUAUUCUGCUGGCUGUUCAAUAUUCAGCCAUGUAAAAUAGCGUUUUAAACCCAACCAAUCAGCUUUAUUCCUGUUCUCGGUGCUGCUGUUGUGUCACACAUCGAUGCUGGUUCACAGAUUUUUACAGUGAAGGCCAACCGGGUCGGUCCAAAAUCCCUAAAACGCUCCAUAUUGGUGCGAUCCUGGAUGGUAGCGAUGAUGACCUUGUGAGUGUGACCGGCUCUCUGCCGUGACUCACCAUCAGUCACGUCUUUCUUUUGUCUCCUCUAAACGCGUCUGGUCAUUCCGUUUUGGCGAUAAGACGGCAAAUCCCGGAAGAUGCCUGUGGUGAGCUGACCGCAGACAGAUCUCAGAAGAGCAGGAACAUAAAUAAAUUGGCUCUUUUGGAGGAAGCACAGGAUUCUGGUAAAUUCAAACCAUUAUCUUCAGUCCACAAUUGUGAAAAUUGGUAAAAGAUGGAAACAAAAGGCUCUUUUUUGGAAAAGCCGCCUCACUCAGGAAAGAAACAGCAAUUUAAUUUUACUACUGCAUUAAACUUAACAACAGCAGGGACUGUAAAUUUUCCUUUGGGAACAUUUUGAUGGCCCUGAGGAUGUAAUCGUAUUGAUUUGUCAGAGGUUCUGAGUUCCUUGCUGUCAACAGCACAGAAAUACGCCACCGUAAUGGAGAACACCCGCCGCAGUUCGCGGCCGCAUCGCGUCCAGGUCCCCUGCUUCUAAACGCUCCCAAACCUUUAUCCAACUGGGUUAGCUUUGUUUCGAUACCCUGAGCCAGUGCAGCAGUGCUUCAGAUCCAGAGGGGAACUAACAGAAGGAAAUCUCUCGCCACAUCUGGUGAACAGAGUAAAAGCAACAGAUUUGACUGAGUCACAGCAAUUGGAAUCAGAGGGCCUGAAACCAUCAACAUAUGGUGAAACCGGAGCUCCGCACCAGUUUUAGAAGCUCGUUCCUGGUAAAUUCAUGUCCGGUGCGUCACUGGAACACAGCUGAUGGACAUUCUUAACGUGACCGGGUGGGUUUUAUGAAGGUACGGAACACAGAAGAACGUUGGCACUGGCAGAGAUUCCUCCCGACUUGAUCGACGGCAACAUUUUCAGCACAGACCAGCC